AAGGUUGGUUUUCUCUUCAGAUCAUAUAAAUCUUUCGCCUUUUACUAAAGAUUUCCGUGGAGAGGAACAAUUCUGAGUCUUAACCCAAUUUUUUGAGGUCCGACAUUUGCAGGCUG
ensembl:snRNA U5 U5 spliceosomal RNA